rnacentral:ncRNA from 1 species
CGUUCUCAGGGCGGGGUGCAAGUCCCCACCGGCGGUAAUGGCACUAGCCUAGCCCGCGAGCGCCUGGCUUUGGUCAGGGACAGCAGACCCGGUGUGAUUCCGGGGCCGACGGUAUAGUCCGGAUAAAGAG